rnacentral:rRNA from 1 species
CCUUCGGGAGGCAGCAGUGGGGGAUAUUGCACAAUGGGGGAAACCCUGCUGCCGCGACGCCGCGUGAGUGAAGAAGUAUUUCGGUAUGUAAAGCUCUAUCAGCAGGGACGAACAUGACAGUACCUGACCAAGAAGCCCCUGCUACCUACGUGCCAGCAGCCGCGGUAAUACGUAGGGGGCAAGCGUUAUCCGGUGUUACUGGGUGUAAAGGGAGCGUAGUCGGUUAUUUAAGUCUGGAGGGAACACCCGGGGCCCAACCCCGGUACUGCUUUGGAAAAUGUGUAACUGGAGUACAGGAGGGGCAGGCGGAAUUCCUGGGGUAGCGGUGAAAGGCGUAGAUAUCAGGAGGAACACCGGCGGCGAAGGCGGCCUGCUGGACUGAAACUGACGUUGAGGCUCGAAAGCGUGGGGAGCAAACAGGAUUAGAUACCCGUGUAGUC